rnacentral:rRNA from 1 species
UACGAACUGUGCAAACGUUAUUCGGAAUCACUGGGCUUAAAGGGUGCGUAGGCGGCUUUUCAAGUAGGGUGUGAAAGCCCCCGGCUUAACCGGGGAAUUGCGCCCUAAACUGGAGAGCUGGAGUGGGACAGGGGUGUGUGGAACUUCCGGUGGAGCGGUGAAAUGUGUUGAUAUCGGAAGGAACGCCGGUGGCGAAAGCGACACACUGGGUCUCAACUGACGCUGAGGCACGAAAGCCAGGGGAGCGAACGGG